UACGGAGGGGGCUAGCGUUGUUCGGAAUUACUGGGCGUAAAGCGCACGUAGGCGGAUAGUUAAGUCAGGGGUGAAAUCCCGCAGCUCAACCGCGGAACUGCCUUUGAUACUGGGAAUCUCGAGUACGGGAGAGGUGAGUGGAAUUCCGAGUGUAGAGGUGAAAUUCGUAGAUAUUAGGAAGAACACCAGUGGCGAAGGCGGCUUACUGGUCCGGUACUGACGCUGAGGUGCGACAGCGUGGGGAGCAAACAGG
rnacentral:rRNA from 1 species